rnacentral:rRNA from 1 species
UACGGAGGGUGCGAGCGUUGUCCGGAAUCAUUGGGCGUAAAGGGCGCGUAGGUGGCCCCUCAAGCGUGCGGUGAAAGUCAGGGGCUCAACCCCUGAUCGGCCGUGCGAACUGGGGAGCUUGAGCACUGUAGAGGCAGGCGGAAUUCCGGGUGUAGCGGUGGAAUGCGUAGAGAUCCGGAAGAACACCGGUGGCGAAGGCGGCUCUCUGGAACGGUACUGACGCUGAGACGCGAAAGCGUGGGGAGCGAACAGG